rnacentral:tRNA from 1 species
GGAGGAGUGGCCGAGUGGUCGAAGGCGGUUGACUCGAAAUCAAUUGUAGGGCUUGCUCUACCAGGAGUUCGAAUCUCCUCUCCUCCGCCA